GUGCGGUUUCAACUCCAAUGGCUUCAGCAGACUUUAAUCUUGCUUCUCCGUUCCACAAAGCUGUCGUCUUGAAGGAUGACUUCUAUACAGUCUUGUAUGCCGAUGCACACUAUUCACCAAAAAAAAAUGUUUCAACUAGUGUUUCAUUUAUCAGCACAACCAACAUGUGGCUCAGCAAGAUCAAACUAUGAACAUUCAACAGUUCUGGGCCUUAAAGCUAAAACCGCAUUCAUGCACAAACAUAAAGCUGACAGUUUUCUCCUCAAUGAAGAGGACGGAUGCUCAUUAUGUUGGCAAGUUGAGGCUCAAGGAGGAGAAAAAAGGUUCUGGCAGAGGAUGAAACACCCCCACCCCCGAGGCUUCAAUUUAGUCGCCUCCAGCUCGGCCGCUCAGCCAGGUUUGUGCUAACAACGGGAACAGCUGAUGCCACCUUUGCUCAAACAGGAAAAAAAAGAGCCUGGCUGGUUGUUUAUGGUUAAAUGAAUGGUUCAUAAAAGGACCGCAGCUUUCAAAAUUAAAGUUGAAAUCAAGAGCUUUCCAUGUGCAUUUUUUUUUUUUUUUUCAAACUCCAAAAUAGAUGGCAGAGCUUCUAGUGUCACGCUUGUUAUGUAUGUUAUCUAUCUUCAUCAUUACUGGAAUGAAAAGUCAUCUAACAACCAGAUGGAUAGCAUAUGGUUCCUUUGGCUGCACAGCACGCAGAGGGUGGAGACCGAAACUGCCUCCACCCGCCCCCCCCGUUCACUGUGGCUGUGAUAGUGGUGGAGUGGAGUCCAGAGGCAGAGGAUUUCCAAUCCUGUGUGGCCCAGAAACUGCUGUGGAAAUGGCAGCUGCCCAGGUGCUGGAUGUGGGGCGAAUGGAAGAGGCUCCUUGCUGAGUGCUUGCAAAUGAACAGGCAAAGAACAUUUCGAGGUCUGGAAAAUACCUACAUGUAGUAGUUGCUACUUGUGCCAGUCUUUGUGCUGCCAUAAAAACAAGAUAAAUAAAACGGAGUGUUUCUGAUGCAACGAUACAGGGUUGCCUCUAAGAAAUUUGAUUUAGUGGAAGUAGACAGAUCCUGUCAGUAUCUCGUCUCAUCUUUUUUUUAUUAAUGGUAAAAACAACAGCAUCAUUCAUUAAAUAGUGAUGGCCUUUGCUUUGUGAAAUUGCCCUUCUGCUCAUUUUCGCCAAGAGGUUUUAUUUCUUAGCAGCUGUGGAGAGUAUUGCAAAAUAAUAAAUAAAAAUACACACCCUGUUUUGAUCCAGCAUGUAAAGCUUUUAAUUAAUGAUGAAAUUAUUUUAAUAUAACCUAACAGACCCACUUUUUUAUAGACUUCACAUUUCAUCAUUAAUAAAAGAGUAAUUCAGUCUUUACAAGCGCAAGCAUUAGCCUGCUGAUUUCAUCUCCCAUUAUG